CUGAGCGGUUCGGGGUCGGGAGCGGGACACACGUGAUUUAUACCCUGUCAGCUUCUAAAAAGGAUUGGAGGCAGCUUCCAAUAAAAGACACAUGCACAAUAAGAUUGCUAAAAUGGGAACCGAAAAUUGAAAACCCAUGCUGAAGAAGGAGGGAGCCAAGAAGGCAUUCUGUGCGGCAGGAGGAGGAACUGUCAGGGAGAAUGCCACCCCCAACUCCUGGCCCCCCUCGUGCCUCCAGUGCCCGAGCAGGAUGCUGGCCUGUCCUGUGCAGCAGACCGCCACCUUCUCCUCGGUUGGAUGCAGGGCACUGAGUAUUAUCUGUCUGUAUGGAUCGUCCUGCAGAUCUGUGUAUUUCCUUCUUCUGCUCAGUAGGUCAGAGCUGGCGAGUGCAACGGGAUCUUACCAGAUGCCUUUCAUCUUUAAACUACCAAGGGGCUGGGAGUUAGAAACCCCUGACCUUGCAGCCUAUGGCUGUAAAAGCCCAGGACACCCCCCAACCCCACCCCCUGCCAAAACUGCUUUUUCAUUUUCAUUUUGAUGUGAUUUUCAUUUUCUUGAGUUUUGUGGUGAAGGCAAAUGUGGUCAGCAUAGACGAGAAGGCAAAUGCCAGUCUCCCAGGACCUGCCUGGGUCCUGUUCCCAGGGAGGAGCUCCUCCUUCCCCUCUCUUCCCUCCUUCCCUUUCUGUUCUUCCUUCCUGAGUCUGCUAAGGGCUAUGAUGGGCUUAGUCCUGAACCCAAAGAAACAGCCCCAGGUGAAUGCCCUCUUCCGAUCAGAGCUGUGGAUGUUUCUCUAGGGCCUCUGAUCCUGCAUUUUCUAACCCUGCCCUUCACUCCCGGUUCCUUCAGUAACAUUUAGAAUAUUUGAGAAAUGAAAGCUAACCAUGCUCAUUGAACAUGGAUUCCACCCCAAUUCAGAGCGCUUACAUUUUCACAGUUCCCAGGGAAGAUCUCUGUCUGUGGGAGACACUUGGAAAGACAGGAGAAUCUGGAUGCGGCUGGUCUGCUGCAGAGCCACACCCUAGCAGGCAGAAGCGCGGUUUUACAUCCUACUCCACAUAAACCUGAACCCGGCCCUCCUGCACACAUUCUCCAUUGCAGAGCCAAGCCUCCCUGUCACUCACUGUAUCUCGUGCCACAUCCAAGCAUCUCUGUGACACAGGGAGUUGACAGACUUGGUCAGGUGCUGAUUCCACACCAUUUGUCAUGAGUCUUUGAAAAGAACCAGAGCUGGCCCACGAGCAAGCUGAGCGCAGAGGUUUCCUCAGUCCGUCUUCUCUCCUGACAAGAGGUCUUGAGUUUUCAUGAGAUUUACUCACUGGAUCUUAGCUGGGUAACCUCUUUCCUGACGUUACACACGAAGGAUCAGAGUAGCUGUGGUGGCCGUGGCCUGAUGGGAGAUGGAAAGACAGGGAGACGGCGGCUGCAGGGAUGUCCACCCCCUGGUAACACUCCCCAAAGGCUCCGAAUGGAGAGGUCUGCCAUGGAGGCUCUGCUCCAGAGUGGGAAACAUGGUGGGGGAGUUGGCCCCUCCGACAGGGUCAGUGGGAGAAGCCCGCAGCAAUAAAAUCAACACAUUACCAUCACCCAGCCGGGCAGAGCAAAGGGGCAAACCGCAGUUCGGCACAACUGUACAGACCGCCAAAUUCAAGCUUUUAGAAACUCAGUUUUGCCAACUUGUCCUCUGAAGGCAGGGCGUGCAUGCACAAGGGCUGGUAAUGUAGACAUCAUCUGGAGGUGUCCUGAGGAGGGUCACCUAUUAGGCUGCAAACCUGGAAGGCCAUUCUAAGCCUGGGGUGUCAGAAGCAGCAUGAAGGUGCAUUUUUUUGUGUUUUCAGAUAAGCAGGUAAUUGGUGUUAUGAACAUGCCAAGCUUUCUCAGUUUGCUUGACUUAGCUUCUUAGGAAUCCAUUAAGAAUGACCUUUACUCUUAUGUCUUUAAGUACAUUUAAUACACUCACCUGCCGAUUUUUUACUUUUUUUUAAGUAAUCGUGCCUCAUCAAACAGUAAUGAAGGAGGAAGGCCUCGAGCCGGCUUAUGUAGGAAAUAUAAAUCAAGGUCCUAAAUCACUAAUAAUUGGGUAGGAAAGUUGAAACUAUAUGUGCUUCCGGGUAACUGUGAUUCUAAUUUUCUCCAAAACUGAGUUAUCUGCCAUCAGACAAAAUUUGCUAAUGGCCUCACUCAUUAUUACAGAUUCAUGUCACUGCUUGCGAGAGAUGCUUGCUUUCCUCUUCUACGCUCACAAAAUCGCAGCCUUGGGCGAUUAAUCCUGAUAACACCAAGAGAGACCCAAAUACUUACUGUUUCAUUUAAUGACUCUUGGCAGAAAGGAAAAACACUUCACUUGAACACGGUAUUUUAAAAAUAUGUAUUUUACUAACUUUCAUGGGAAAUUUAACUAUUUGAUGAAAUGCCUUUGUAUAUUACUUGGCUGGUUUUCAUUUGUACUUAACAAUUUGUCUUAAAGAUGAUACAUGAAAAUGAGAUGAAAAUAUACAAUGUUCCCCAUAAACCAAACCUAGGAGAGAUGAAACGUUGCCCCAAGUGAAAUAGCUGAAUUCAAUGGAUUUUAAUUACUUUUUGUCCCCACGGGCUCCCCCGCCCCCACCUUAAUUUCUUCUAUUUUCCCGUUAGGUUGCAAUCAUUAAUUUCAAGUUUGCUCCCACACUAUCCAGGAAACUAAACAAAACGUGUGACAGCCGAGAUGAUUCAGUGCCGCCUUUUGACUAAGCAAGCAAGUGUCCUUUUCGACGCCAGCCUAUGCCCAUACCCUGGUGGGAGGGUGGUAGUGGGGAUGGCCCACGGCCGUCUCAGCAGCCGCCCGCUUCCACGCCCUAAUUACAGUCCUCCCAGUGAUGGGCUGCCCGC